GACGAACGCUGGCGGCGUGCUUAACACAUGCAAGUCGAACGGUAAGGCCCUUUCGGGGGUACACGAGUGGCGAACGGGUGAGUAACACGUGGGUAAUCUGCCCUGCACUUCGGGAUAAGCCUGGGAAACUGGGUCUAAUACCGGAUAUGAGCUCUGGCCGCAUGGUCUGGGGUUGGAAAGUUUUUCGGUGCGGGAUGAGCCCGCGGCCUAUCAGCUUGUUGGUGGGGUAAUGGCCUACCAAGGCGACGACGGGUAGCCGGCCUGAGAGGGUGAUCGGCCACACUGGGACUGAGACACGGCCCAGACUCCUACGGGAGGCAGCAGUGGGGAAUAUUGCACAAUGGGCGGAAGCCUGAUGCAGCGACGCCGCGUGGGGGAUGACGGUCUUCGGAUUGUAAACCCCUUUCAGUAGGGACGAAGCGCAAGUGACGGUACCUGCAGAAGAAGCACCGGCCAACUACGUGCCAGCCGCCGCGGUAA
rnacentral:rRNA from 1 species